rnacentral:sRNA from 28 species
UUAUUAGCAUUAAGUGUCAGAAUGAUUCGGUUAUUAGCCUUUUAUCAUUUAUUUUAUCAUUACCCACAUUACCGGCAUUUAUGCCGGUUUUUUUU